CAUAAAGUGCCUGCCCUCUAGCCUCUACUCUUCCAGUUGCGGCUUAUUGCAUCACAGUAAUUGCUGUACGAAGGUCAGAAUCGCUACCUAUUGUCCAAAGCAGUCGUAAGAAGAGGUCCCAAUCCCCCACUCUUUCCGCCCUAAUGGAGGUCUCCAGUUUCGGUAAAAGUUUCAUUUGAUCUGAAUAGUAUUAAAAUAAAAUACCUGGAUGAGGAAGAUGAAGAGAGACGAAGUCUCGCUCUGUCACCAGGCUGGAGUGCAGUGGCGUGAUCUUGGCUCACUGCAACCUCUGCCUCCGGGUUCAAGCAAUUCUCCUGCUUCAGCCUCCCGAGUAGCUUGGGACUACAGACUAGAGACGGGGUUUCACUGUGUUAGCCAGGAUGGUCUCGAUCCCCUGACAUCGUGAUCCGCUGUCCUCGGUCUCCCAAAGUGCUGGGAUUACAGGCGUGAGCCACCGCACCUGGUCGAUUAACCUCUUUUAAGCCUGUUUUCUCAUCCAUACAAUGGAGAUAAUGGCAGCACCCACUGCUUGGUAAGGAAUAUUAGGUGAACACAGGUGCCUAUGUGGGUUCCUCCAUUUUCCAUAAAUGUUAAUUCCCUUAUCCCUCAUCUCCUAGGUUAGUCCCAGAGGACAGAUUUGAAGUUUGAAAACAGAAAGUAACUGCCAAAAGGGAUUAUUUAGGGCAGAGAUUGUCCCCUUUUAUUAUGCUUUAGGUCCUCAGUGGUGAGGGCAGGGGACAGGAGAAGUGGGAUCCAGCCCAAAUUCUUGGAUCUCAUCGUAGAGUGACUCUUUAGGGGCUUAGGAUUCUGCAUUUUGGACCCGUCCCCAGGGCAUUCUGAUGCCUGCAGUUCUCCUGUCUGGCUUUGAAUAACUCUGGGUAGUGCUUUAAAUCUAAGCUGACAUACCAGUGGGAUGUGAACUGUCCUUGCAAAUGUUUUGAGCCCUUCCUGCGCUGGCCUCCAACUCUGCCUUGCUCAGUCUGUCUUUAGCUCCUUUCCAUUCUGGCCUUCUCCCUUUCCUUUUUCACUUCCUUUUUUUUUUUUUUUGAGACAGGAUCUCACUCUGUUACCCAGGCUGGAGUGCAGUGGCAUGAUCUUCGCUCACUGCAAGCUCCGCCUCCCGGGUUCAAGCAAUUAUCAUACCUUAGCCUCCUGAGUAGCUGGGACUACAGGCGCACACCACCACACCCAGCUAAUUUUUGUAGUUUUAGUAGAGAUGGGGUUUCACCAUGUUGGCCAGGCUGGUCUCAAACUCCUGACCUCAAGUGAUCCGCCUGCCUCGGACACUCAAAGUGCUAGGAUUACAGGCGUGAGCCACCACGCCCAGCCUCCUUUUUCACUUCCUACCUUCCUCCCCACCUCUGGGUGUACCCUCCCCUGAGCUCAGCCUGUAUUUCUAUCUGCUGGCCACUUACCAGCCAGUCCUUUCAUCUACAAUGCCCUUUACUCACCUAGAAAGCUCACAUCAAAAGUCGCCUCCUCCAGAAUACCUCUCAAGUUCUCCUCUCUGGUCCCUUGACCCUUUGCAGGUACCUUUUUUCUUGUACAAGUCACAUGAUAAUGUAAGGGGUUUUUUUCCCCAUCUAGAGCCUGCCUGGUGGGCUCAUGGUCCAUUUGUGGAAACAUGCAUUUCCCUCUCCUCCGCCCCCCUCCUUCAUGAUCCAUGCUUUAAGAGCUUCCCCAAGGCAUGCAGAGCAAGCUGAGAAGAGGUAGACAAGCCUGCAGACCUUUCAAAGAAGUGGGGUGGCUUGGGAAGUAAAAGAAGAUCUGGAGAUAGGAGUUCCUAAAAAGCAGACAAGAGAUUACCGAGGGGUUCCCCACAGCUCCAGCACACAGCAGCUGCAAAAAAAAUGCAGUGGAAUUACUGAGGGACAUUAUGGGCUUGAUGGAGGACAGGGAAUGCUUGUGCCAAGCCACCAAGGAUCAUGCUGUGGCAGUUGUGACCAGAUAGACUAUACUUUUGCCAAGGUGAAAGGAUUUCCCUACUAAAUCCUUUACUUUCCACUUUGUUUAAAAUGAGUUUAACACCAAGAAAAUAGUUGUCUCUAUGUCCUUAUUUCUAAUCUUCCUGCUCAACCAUGAACUGCACUAAACACACUCAGACCCAUCUAACCUAAAAUUGAGAAAGGGAGGUUCUCACUCCUGGAGAGAGAAUUACUGAAAGGGCGGCCCUCAUACAGUUCAGGGUCAUACCCCCAAUAGCUGGUUUUAUAUUUGAAAGCAGACACUGGGACUCUGACCUUUGCAGAGAUAAAAGGGAUACUUUCCUAACCCAGAGAGGCCAAAGGAGCACAGGACGCCCAGGCCGAGGGCAGUGAAGCUUGCAGACCCAGGCUGUGCAACCCCCACAGCAGGUCUCCUCACGGGAUAGAUAGACUAUUGGCCCCAAUUCCUCAGCCCUACAUGCACCCACCCCUUGCCAUGGUUUCGUUGUGGGUGGAGGGUACUUUCCCAGCCCCUGGCUUUGGGCUUGCCCACGUGUCUUGCUCUGGCCAUGGAAUGAAGCACAAAGGAGAGCCUGCUAGUUCCUAACCCACGCCUGAAGACGCCUUAGGCGGUUCUGCGGACCCCGUGCACUUCCACCUUCAGCCAGAAGGCCUUCUCUGGUGCAGCCGUUGCUUCAGCCUCGGUCCAAAAGGAUCGGAGCCCCCUGGCCGAUCCGCAGGCCUGCAGGGAGCCACAGAGCGCAGCGGCCGGCCCAGCGUUCAAGCCCAAGCACAGGCCUGCAAGAACUUUCUUCCAACUGCCGUUUGGGAUGGUUGAUUAGGACGCGUUGCUGUGGCGGUAGCUCACCAAUCCAAUGCAUGCACCCGCUCCUUUAUUAGGCUAUAGGGCCAGUGGCUGCGACAGGGACCUGAUACAACAGUGCGUUAAAUAAGGAGCUUAUUGAGCUAUCAUGUCAUAAGCCGGUGGAGAAGUCCAGGCCUAGUGUAGGGUCUCUGGCCGGGGCUGUAGCCUUCAUCCGCGUGGAACCUUCCCAUGGUUCGCAGGUCGCGGUCUUCGGAGCCUUCAGCCUCGUGAGCCCGAACAGUCCAUAGGGCGGCGCCAGACCCUCUUCCCAACGCCACCCUCUAAAGCCUCGGCUCCAACCGAUUCCACUUCUGCUUCAGGCUCAGGAUUUUCACUCUUCUCGAAUGGGGGUGGCCCUCCCCUGAUCUUCUGAAUCGCAACAGCAUCUCCCUCCCUCCAGGACAUCAGAGCCAGAGCUGGGCGAGAGGCCCUGACCUCUGGGGUAGGGUGGCAGCGUCCCCUUGAAGAUGCGGUCCCGCCUCCCAUCCCCAGGCGCCCGGCCUCUCACACCCUCAGCACCCUGCUCACCUCCAGCUGAAGAUGCCAGGGCACCUCUGCUUCCUCCCUGCUCUCUGCAGUACCGCAGAGUGAGCAUAAAAGGGCUUAAUACAGGCUUCGCCGGGCGCAGGGCUCCCGCCUGUAAUUCCAGUACUUUGGGAGACCAAGGCGGGAGGGUCACUUGAGAACAGGAGUUCAAAACCAGCCUGGGCAACAAAGUGAGGCCCGUCUCUAACAAAGACAAUGAGAAAUAAAUCUAAAAAUUGGAUAGACUGAAACAGGCAAUGAGGAAAGGAUUCCCUAUUUAAUAAAUGGCAUUGGGAAAACUGGCUAGCCAUAUGCAGAAAACUGAAACUGGACCCCUUCCUUACACCUUAUACAAAAAUUAACUCAAGGUGGAUUAAAAACUUAAACAUAAGAUCUAAAACCAUAAAAACCCUAAAAGAAAACCUAGGCAAUACCAUUCAGGACAUAGGCAGGGGCAAAGACUUCAUGACUAAAACACCAAAAGCAGUGGCAACAAAAGCCAAAAUUGACAAAUGGAAUCUAAUUAAACUAAAGAGCUUCUGCACAGCAAAAGAAACUACCAUCAGAGUGAACAGGCAACCACAGAAUGGGAGAAAAUUUUUACAAUCUACCCAUCUGACAAAGGGCUAAUAUCCAGAAUCUACAAAGAACUUAAACAAAUUUACAAUAAAAAAUCAAACAACCCCAUCAAAAAGUGGGCAAAGGAUAUGAGCAGACACUUCUCAAAAGAAGACAUUUAUGCAGCCAACAGACACAUGGAAAAAUGCUCAUCAUCACUGGCCAUCAGAGACAUGCAAAUCAAAACCACAAUGAGAUACCAUCUCACACCAGUUAGAAUGUCAGUCAUUAAAAAGGAAACAACAGGUGCUGGAGAGGAUGUGGAGAAAUAGGAACGCUUUUACGCCAUUGGUGGGACUGUAAACUAGUUCAACCAUUGUGGAAAACAGUGUGGUGAUUCCUCAAGGAUCUAGAACUAGAAAUACCAUUUGACCCAGCGAUCCCAUUACUGGGCAUAUAUCCAAAGGAUUAUAAAUCAUGCUGCUAUAAAGACAAAUGCACACGUAUGUUCAUUGCGGCACUAUUCACAAUAGCAAAGACUUGGAACCAACCCAAAUGUCCAUCAAUGAUAGACUGGAUUAAGAAAAUGUGGCACAUAUACACCAUAAUAUACUAUGCAGUCCUAAAAAAUGAUGAGUUCAUGUCCUUUGUAGGGACAUGGAUGAAGCUGGAAACCAUCAUUCUGAGCAAACUAUCGCAAGGACAGAAAACCAAACACCACAUGUUCUCAUAGGUGGGAACUGAACAAUGAGGACACUUGGACACAGGGUGGGGAACAUCACACACCAGAGCCUAUUGUGGGGUGGGGGGAGGGGGGAGGGAUAGCAUUAGGAGAUAUCCUUAAUGUAAAUGACGAGUUAACAGGUGCAGCACACCAACAUGACACGUGUAUACCUAUGUAACAAACCUGCACGUUGUGCAC
rnacentral:lncRNA from 1 species